GCCGCCAGGGAGGGGCCUAAAAAGGCGGCAAGAGCCGGCUACUAAAGGCAGAAUGGUCUGAGAGGUGGGCUGAGGGGAGUGGCCAAGUUUUGAGAAAAGCGGAGUGGUGAGCGGGAGGACGCGCCUGAUGCUGAGAGCCCGAGGCCAAGGGCGCGGUCUUGGGGCGCUGAGGAAGGUUUGGCGAGCGGAGCGGGUCAGCUCGUUUCUGUGGUGUAACCUCCCCCACCCCCGCUCCCGCCCUUCCUGACCCUUCCGUGCUCAGGUGUGGGCCUCACUCGGUGCAGUCUGCGGGAGGUUACAAAGCUUUAGUUUCGCGUUUGUAGCAUAACCGGCAAUCCCAGUGAACAGGUUUUCCAGCCAAAUGAAGGGCAGCCAAACGGAAGGCUACAAUUUUCCCUUCCCAACCAGGGAUGGCAUCGUCAUCGUGGAAAACCUAGAGGAAGAAAAAGAAGCCACAGUGAAAAAAUAACAGGAUAAGACAGUGACUCUCACUAGAAAACUGCUGCUGCUAAAAGUUAUUUCUAGCAGGGAACAGGAACUUUCCUGACAGGCAUUGUUGCUCAGAGUCAAAAGAGGUCAAAGAAGCCAGGCAAGAUUUCAGCAAAGGAAGAAUGGACGCAAUAGCAGGAGCUACAGACACAGCCAACAUUCAGACAGCGGGAGAAAAUGCUCAUGCAAUCCACGGACAGAGAAAUGAGCAGGGACGAGAAUCACAGGAGCACAGUAACGUUAGAAACUGAGAUUCCAAGGGGCCUUAUGCUUCCUGUACCAAAGGUACGAGACCAGGGUGCCUGGGUGGCUCAGCUGGUUAAGUGACCACCUGUGCUGACAGCACAGAGCCUGCGUGGGAGUCUCUCUCUCCCUCUCUUUCUCUGUCCUUCUCCUGCUAGCAUGCUCUCUCUCUCUCAAAAUAAAUAAAUAAACUUAAAAAAAUAAAAAUAAAGGUACAAGACCUACCUUAUCUCUUGGCUACACAGGAUCUAUAUGUGUGGGUCCCAUGGUUUUUAACUCAAAUUCCUUGGUCCACAUCUUAUCUCUACCCUUUGUAUAGGUACUUAAGGAAAAUUUUUAAUUAAUAAGUACCUAUGAUUAUGACUUUA